GCCCUGGGUAUGGAGGGAAGGGGUCAGGUCAGCCACACCCACCGCGGGAGCAGUGCGGCCUAAGGCCCCCGCCCAGAGCAGGUGGCCAAGCCAACUGCUGCCCCCAAGCCUGUGGCCAUCACCUACCUGACCAAGCCAGGAGCCUUGCCCAGCCUCAUCACUGAUGCCAGGAUUCAAACUCUGGGGUAGGGACACAGUCUCAAGAAAGCUGGUACUUCCCAGCCAAACUUGGGGAAUGAGGCUGCCAAUGAAGCCGCAAGCACCCCAUCACUCGUGCCGACUUUCCCAGGAUCCCCCCUUCAAAACGAGAAAGAUCAGAUGAUAAACCAUGAGAUUUGUA